rnacentral:rRNA from 1 species
CUUGCCCUCCCUCUAGCCCAACCAACCCCUAUCUCUAAUAUAAAAAAUCAACUAACCUGCUUAACCAAAACAUUAUAUUCGUCCUAGUAUAGGCGAUAGAAAAGACCUCAGGCGCAAUAGAGGCCAACUGUACCGCAAGGGAAAGAUGAAAUAAUAAUGAAAACCACAAGCAAAGGAUAGUAAAGACUAACCCUUGUACCUCUUGCAUCAUGAUUUAGCAAGAACAACCAAGCAAAGCGAACUAAAGUUUGCCUCCCCGAAACCUAAGCGAGCUACUUGUAAGCAGCUAGAACUGAGCGAACCCAUCUCUGUUGCAAAAGAGUGGGAUGACUUACUAGUAGAGGUGAAAAGCCCAUCGAGCUAGGUGAUAGCUGGUUACCUGCCAAACGAAUCUAAGUUCCCCCUUAACCCGCCCCCUAAAGACCCAACCAACCUUACAUACGUUGGGGUUAAGAGCAAUUCAAUGGGGGUACAGCCCCAUCGAAAAAGAACACAACCUCCUCUAGCGGAUAAUAACCACCCCUACUAUACUGUGGGCCUUCAAGCAGCCACCAACAAAAGAGUGCGUCAAAGCUCCCCCAUUAAAAAUCCAAAACCCCAUUUGAUUCCCUCAACCAAAGCAGGUUAAUCUAUGAUAAUAGAAGAGUCAAUGCUAAAAUGAGUAACCUGGAAUCCUCCUCCACAUAGCGCAAGCUUACAUUAACACAUUAUUAACAGAACCUAACUUAUAUUCCCACCCAACAAGCAAUGCAUAUAAGCCCACCUGUUAGCCCAACCCAGGAGCGCCAGAUAAGAUGAUUAAAACCUGCAGAAGGAACUCGGCAAAUCAAAGACCCGACUGUUUACCAAAAACAUAGCCUUCAGCUAACAACAAGUAUUGAAGGUGAUGCCUGCCCAGUGACGCCUAACGUUUAACGGCCGCGGUAUCCUAACCGUGCGAAGGUAGCGCAAUCAAUUGUCCCAUAAAUCGAGACUUGUAUGAAUGGCUAAACGAGGUCUUAACUGUCUCCUGCAAGUAAUCAGUGAAAUUAGUACUCUCGUGCAAAAACGAGAAUGUGACCAUAAGACGAGAAGACCCUGUGGAACUUUAAAAUCACGACCACCUCCCCACUCACUUCCUUUCCCCCCAUUGGACCUACCCGCACAAAGUCAUUGGUCGAUAUUUUUUGGUUGGGGCGACCUUGGAGAAAAGAAAAUCCUCCAAACCUACAGACCACAACUCUUCACUAAGACCAACCCUUCAAAGUACAAAUAGUAACUAGACCCAAUACAAUUGAUCAAUGGACCAAGCUACCCCAGGGAUAACAGCGCAAUCUCCUCCAAGAGCCCAUAUCGACAAGGAGGUUUACGACCUCGAUGUUGGAUCAGGACAACCUAAUGGUGCAGCCGCUAUUAAGGGUUCGUUUGUUCAACGAUUAACAGUCCUACGUGAUCUGAGUUCAGACCGGAGCAAUCCAGGUCGGUUUCUAUCUAUGAACAUACUCCUCCUAGUACGAAAGGACCGGAGAAGUGGGGUCAAUACUAUAAGCACACCCCAACUUUCUAAGCAAUGAAUUCAACUCAAUUGCCAAAAAUACCCCCCGCACCCACAUUCCUAGAAAAGGACCCA